UACGAAGGGGGCUAGCGUUGCUCGGAAUCACUGGGCGUAAAGCGCACGUAGGCGGCUUGUUAAGUCAGGGGUGAAAUCCUGGAGCUCAACUCCAGAACUGCCUUUGAUACUGGCGAGCUUGAGUUCGGGAGAGGUGAGUGGAACUGCGAGUGUAGAGGUGAGAUUCGUAGAUAUUCGCAAGAACACCAGUGGCGAAGGCGGCUCACUGGCCCGAUACUGACGCUGAGGUGCGAAAGCGUGGGGAGCAAACAGG
rnacentral:rRNA from 1 species